CUUCCUGAGUGACAAAAAAUCAGGACCCACACACACACAUACACACACACACAGAAAUACAUACUUAUUGCUGAAGCUUCUAACUGUGCUCAAGCAAGACAGAAUCUGGACAACUCUGUGCGCACACUGUGACCGGCAACAAUUAUACAUUCUUGUGUUAGGAACAGAUUGAGAAGAACAUCAGUUUCAACCUUGGGUGUGAAAGUGCAUCUUUGCUAAAAGAACUGGAUUUAGCAAUGGAACACAGAGACUGCACAAAAGAUCACAGCAUUGUAUUUGCCAGUAAGUCCUAUUAUAGAUUAUACAGCAGUGGGUCCAAAGAAGAAGAGAAUGAAAAGAACUGAUUUGUACCAGUGAUCACCUUUCAUACAGUGAAAGCUUUAAGCACACUCUUCAUUUUCACAAGAAACAUCACAAGACCAAGGACAAGACAGUAUGUGAUGGCCUUAUCUUGUUCCUGUAAAAAGCCAAGCUUGCAACAGUUUGUUAAUAUGGCUGAAAUGAGACCCAAAACUAUUGUCAUUGAUUUGCAAGGUAACCCAACAGCAUUGUUAACAACUUCAACAAAGAAUGGAGCAGACUGAAUGACAAACCUUGAAAUCUACAGAUGUGAGAGAACAAAGGGAGACAGGAUUAAAGCAGUUAAUGGGGAGGGGAUACUUAAAAAAAAAAGCAUAAAGUGUC